GGACAUUGUUUCAUGGGGGGAGAAGAGGAAGGAUAGAUGAGAGCAAUGGGCAUGUUUUAUAUUAUAGAUUGAAAAGGACAUGGUCAGCAAUAACCUCAUAUUCUGUUGCUUGCAAGUAGAUGAAUUAUCCACUUGUACGUUAAAUAAAUAGCCGACUGACUUGUAUCUGUAUUUUAAUUUGAACUUGGGAGAGAACAUUUUAAACUGGAACCCACAUUUUUAAUGAAAAG
rnacentral:lncRNA from 1 species